AGAAGACUGCCGCUCGUUUUA
rnacentral:miRNA from 1 species